UACGAAGGGGGCUAGCGUUGCUCGGAAUUACUGGGCGUAAAGGGCGCGUAGGCGGAUAUCUAAGUCGGGGGCGAAAGCCCGGGGCUCAACCUCGGAAUUGCCUUCGAUACUGGAUAUCUUGAGUUCGGGAGAGGUGAGUGGAAUGCCGAGUGUAGAGGUGAAAUUCGUAGAUAUUCGGCGGAACACCAGUGGCGAAGGCGACUCACUGGCCCGAUACUGACGCUGAUGCGCAAAAGCGUGGGGAGCAAACAGG
rnacentral:rRNA from 1 species